GUGCCUCCGACGACCUACGUUCCUUUAUCUAAUUGAUCUUCUCAAUUCUAUCUUCUUAUUGCUUUUAUUUUUAGCCUCUUCACUUCUUUGAUUCUUUGAAUUCUUUCUUUCUGUAGGAAAGGUAUGGAGUUUGUUCGUGAAGACCUGAGACAAACGAAGAAACGACCAGUGUUGCUUGACAGACUCAACCGUACUGGCUGGAAGGAACAGAAAGCGUACGAGUUUAUCGCGGCAGCGCCUCUGGAUCUCAUUGUCAGUGGCGUAGAUCGGUGAAUCGGAGAUGCAGUUUCCAUCUCCAAUGUUUCAAUGUUAAAUUGAUCAUUAUUAUCCAUCAUUAUUUCUUUUAUUUUUAACGAUCAAUCACAAACUUAUCAAUAUAAUACCUAUUACAUCUAAUCAUAAGUUGUUUGAUUGAUAAUUGAAUAUCCUGCGGUGUUAUUACACGUAAAUUACUAAUAUGUAUUUCUAAAAAAAUAUUUCAAAUUUCUACUGCAUUAAACAAUGGAGUACAGAAAGGUACUAUAAUAAACAAACUUCCUUAGAA